rnacentral:rRNA from 1 species
UACGUAGGGGGCUAGCGUUGUCCGGAAUCAUUGGGCGUAAAGAGCGCGUAGGCGGCUAGAUAAGUCCGGUGUGAAAGUCACAGGCUCAACCUGUGAAUGCCGCUGGAAACUGUCUGGCUAGAGUCCGGAAGAGGCAAGUGGAAUUCCCGGUGUAGCGGUGAAAUGCGCAGAUAUCGGGAGGAACACCAAUGGCGAAGGCAGCUUGCUGGGACGGUACUGACGCUGAGGCGCGAAAGCGUGGGGAGCAAACAGG